ACAAUCUGCCGGAAGGAGGGGGAUAGCCCAUGGAAACGUGGAUUAAUACCCUGUGUGGUUUCAGGAGGCAUCUCCUGGCAACUAAACGUGGCGCAAGCUGCGGCCUUCCGAUGAGUUCGCGGCCUAUCAGCUUGUUGGCGGGGUAACGGCCCACCAAGGCGAUGACGGGUAGCUGGUCUGAGAGGAUGACCAGCCACACUGGACUGAGACACGGUCCAGACACCUACGG
rnacentral:rRNA from 1 species